CGGCCGCCAUAUUGAGUCAGCGUAAUUGUUGAGUGCCAUGUGAAGAAACGAAGGUGAGAGGUUACGCCGACCAAUUCAUUGCAGGGUCCAGCAGGCGCUAAUACCAACCGCAACUGGGAGCGCAAGCCCGUCAGAAUGAAUAAAGUUCCAACUGGCACACAGACGAACAGCAACGCCACCGAACCUGCUACAGCCAGACAUCUUAGUACGAAAAGGUCCAGUGCGUACGAGGCUGUGUGAAAGGUGCCAUCACGCAAUGACAGUUUUGACCGACUCAGCUUGUCCUCACGUCUCCUUCUGGUCCUUCACGUUUGCCCAUUUUUGACGCCGGGUACCAUCAAGU